rnacentral:rRNA from 1 species
UACAGAGGGGCAAGCGUUAUUCGGAAUUAUUGGGCGUAAAGGGCGCGUAGGCGGCUUUGCAAGUGGCGGGUGAAAUCCCUCGGCUUAACCGAGGAACUGCCUGUCAAACUGCAUGGCUUGAGACCGGGAGAGGUGAGUGGAAUUCCCAGUGUAGCGGUGAAAUGCGUAGAUAUUGGGAGGAACACCAGUGGCGAAGGCGGCUCACUGGACCGGUACUGACGCUGACUGCGCGAAAGCGUGGGGAGCAAACAGGG